rnacentral:rRNA from 1 species
GGCCGGUAUGAAUGGCGUCACGAAGGCCCCACUGUCUUAAGAGGACUCUCCAUGAAAUUGAAUUCGUAGUGAAGAUGCUACGUCCAUAUUGUAAGACGAAAAGACCCCAUUGAGCUUUACUAAAGACUUGCAUGGCUCAAAAUAAUUUGAUUUAAAUAAAAAGUUUAGAUAAUGUGGGAUCCGUUUUCGGUUAAUGAAACACCACUCUUUUAUUUUAAGAGAGCUAACAUUACAGGGAUAGUGUAAGUUGGAUAGUUUGGUUGGGGCGACCACCUUUUAAAAGGUAACGAAGGUGAGCUUAAGGUCCGUAGUUAAUAGCCGGUGGCCUGACUGCAAGGGGGACGUCUCGAGCAGACACGUCCUUAGGGAUGUGGACUAUAGUGACCCGUCAUC